rnacentral:rRNA from 1 species
UACGUAGGUGUCGAGCGUUGUCCGGAUUUAUUGGGCGUAAAGAGCCCGCAGGCGGCUUGGCAAGUUUGAGGUGAAAUCUCCCGGCUUAACUGGGAGGGGGCCUCGAAAACUGCCAGGCUUGAGGCAUGGAGAGGGAUGCGGAAUUCCCGGUGUAGAGGUGAAAUUCGUAGAUAUCGGGAGGAACACCGGUGGCGAAGGCGGCGAUCUGGGUAGAUACUGACGCUGAGGUGCGAAAGCGUGGGGAGCAAACAGG